rnacentral:lncRNA from 1 species
UGUGGGUCUUAUGGGGCUAAUCUAAGUUUGGACCAGAUUUAGCUCCAUGGGGUUGAGUGCAUGAUCAGACUAUGGGUGUACAUAGAUUUGGAUGAGUGCAUUCAGAUUGGAUUAGCCUAAGAAGUUUUUGGGUUAGAACUUUGGUCCAUGUAAUAGAUAUAUAUACUUGUAUAUUGUAAACCCUAAAGGAUGAAUCAAAAAAG